ACAUACGACCAUACCCACUGGAAAACUCGGGAUCCCGUCCGCUCUCCCAUAGAUAAGCCAGUGAGGGCCGGAUUAGUAGUUGGGUCGGUGACGACCAGCGAAUACCUGGUGUUGUAUGUU
rfam:Colletotrichum sublineola strain TX430BB Scaffolds1546.1, whole genome shotgun sequence.